rnacentral:rRNA from 1 species
UACAGGGGGGGCAAGCGUUGUUCGGAAUUACUGGGCGUAAAGGGCUCGUAGGUGGCCAACUAAGUCAGACGUGAAAUCCCUCAGCUUAACUGGGGAACUGCGUCUGAUACUGGAUGGCUUGAGUUCGGUAGGGGAGACUGGAAUUCCUGGUGUAGCGGUGAAAUGCGCAGAUAUCAGGAGGAACACCGGUGGCGAAGGCGGGUCUCUGGGCCGAUACUGACGCUGAGGAGCGAAAGCGUGGGGAGCGAACAGG